rnacentral:tmRNA from 1 species
GGGGGUGUUCCGGAUUCGACUGGCAGAGUUAUGGAACGGUAAGCAUACCGAAGUCCGGCUUCGUAAAAACGGAAAAAAAAAGAACUGACACUAACAGUUUCGAAUUGGCUGCUGCUUAAAUAGCGGCCCGUCGGGGUAUAUAGGCCUACGGAUAUACUUUCGGCGUGGUUUAGUAGGGAAACGAGCGCCGCAGCGCCCUGCGCGGCGAACGGGAUUCAGGGGCUUGGCAAAGGCAAGGUUUGCUUUUUGACAUUCCGGAGCGACACUUAACAAAAAGCUAAGUAUGUAGAAGGCCGUUUGGUAACCUGUUAGGACGGGGGUUCGACUCCCCCCACCUCCACCA